AGACCAGAAAUUCUCUGGCAGCCUUCCACGUUCCUCAACGACUCUCUGGUAGUCCAACAGCUGCUGCAUGUAGGGCCCUUGAUGAGCUACUCCUACCUCACGUGCCAACAGGCAGCGUUCCUUUAAAGAAUAUAAAUAAUAAUGACAUAAUUUGAUAAAAUAAUAGAAUAAUAUAAAAAAAAGACUUCGUGGAAGAAUAACAACAAAAAGACUAAAUACUCACGUUGAAGUCAUUCACGAUUAGCCUGAAACGUGUCUCCAUCUGUAAGAUCAAUGCCUUGAGCCUCCUUGGCCCUGCCCAUUCUGGACGGCUGCACCACCUUCUGUUGUUUGCAACAACCCUAUAACAAUAAAUAACCACGCAAAAAAAAUUAUUAAAAUUGAAAGGAAAAAGAAUUGAAUAAUGAAAUGAGAUGAAAUCAAUUCCAAGCUUCAUCAUUUCGAUAAGCCACCUUGUGCCAAUCCACAGGAUAGAAUUCGUCCUCGUACAGACCAAUACGAGCGCAAAACACGAAUAGAUCAUCCUGUCGAAUCGCUAAAUUAACGAAAACAUUACAUUAAUGCGAGGAAUGAUUUUUCAAAAUAUUAUAUUAAUCUUCAAAAAUUGAAAAGAUUCAAAGAUUCGAAAAUUAUACUUACACAUCUUUGACAAAUCAAUGCUGCAAUUAAAUCAACGCAGAUUAUGGCUUCAAUGACGUCUCAUAAACAAACCUGUUGGGAAGCAACGAUCGGUUGAUGUUUUCUUCAUAAUUGAUUUUCAGAAUUCAUUUUUUUCAUACCGCAGGCACCUCAACGUUAUUGGCACUGUAGUCAUUGCCGGUAUCAAACAAAAAGAAUACUACGGUUUUAUCAGAAUUUAUCAGAAUUCCGCAUUCAGGUUUAAUUGGGGAUACAAAAUACUGAACCCACAUGGAUACCGCCACUUUCGAGUUGAACGUUAAAACCUUUGUGAGCUUCCAAGCCAGCAAUGAGACUGAGCGCAAAAGAAUUCAUGGUUCGGAAAUCUAAUAGAUUGUAUAUCUCGAGGUUUAAUAAAAUCAUAAAAUUUUGCUCAAUAAUAAAAUCCACAGAUGACAGCGAAAUAAUUAGAUACAUCUUAAAAAGCGCCGAAGGUCUUUUCGAGUUGUCUUUGGGAAGUAAGGAGAUAUUUUCCAUUAAAAGGAUCGAGAAGAAUCAAAGUAAGCUGAUCUUCACCCAGUAUAAUGCAGGGCCAUCCAACGAAAUGAUAAUGACAAUAACCACCGAAGACGACAAUAAAUGACGAGUACUCAGACGACGAAGAACAUCAAUUUUAUAAAUUCUCUGCGAAAAUGGGAAAGAAGCAAGGGAAAAAUGAUGAUGAACUUGAGCGUCAAAUACUGAAAGUCUAUGUCGCGAAUUAUCGAAAGGUUGGCCCUAUGAAAAAGUAUAAGAGGAAAGUGGGGAUGUAUGAAGCUGUAGCAUAUAAAAUUAACAAAAAGUGCAAUGCCACCACAACAGGUAGUGGAAUACAGUCUACAGUGGAGCGUUAUAGAGCAGUUCAUAGGAAAGCUGUUGUAAAUAAUUCGAAAACUGGGAGAGCACCAGUUGACGUUCUACAUCCCGAUAUAUUCGAACAUCUUUGCUCAGUUGAUGACAACAUCCAACCAGAAUUGAUACGUUCUGUUGAGGGCGUACGUUACUACAAGAGGAAAUAAACUGAGUUCAUGAGUCUUCUUGUUAUUUCAACUCUUAAGAUCCCUCCACAUACUCAAAUGCUAGAGAACAUCCGGAUUAUUUAACUGAAAUUGGGAAUUGAAAAAAUGAAUUCUUAAAUGGACUCUCUUAAAUCACUAAUAAUAUUCACACAAACGGCCAGAGCAACAUAAAUUUUGAAUUGAAUGUGGAAUUGAAAUGUUGAAUGGUAAACGGUGAAAAGUCGAUUUCAAAUAUCUCCUCAAAAAUUGAAUUAUCCCAAUAAUGAGUGAGCUUUUUUUAAAUCACAAAAUUCCCCACAAAAAAAGUUUCUUGGUGUUUACUUCUAAAAUCACUCAUCAGUAAGAUAAUUCAAUGUAUAAUAAGAUCCGCAAAAUCGAGUUAUCACUGUUUGUCAGUUCGGUACUGAAAUGAAAAUGUCGUUAGGUGAAUUUCGCGUUCCUGUAAUAGAUUGAAAUACAAAUUGAUUUAUAAAUUAAUUCAUCAUUUUAUUAUGUAACAUUAUUAUAUGAUAGGUUUUCAUGCAGUUUCUUAAAAUCUUGAGGGAUUGAAAUAAGAUGAAGAAAAAAAAGGAGAUGCCCGGGCAACGGCUAUUGAACCAACUAAUUAUUUUCAUUCGGAAAAACAACGAAUGUGAAAAAAACUACUACUUAUUAUUAAUGCGAUUCUUCAUGUACUCGCGCUUCUGUUUCCCAAUCCUCACCGAAGUCCUUGGAUCAACGUUAAUGAGAGGAGUCCAAUCAUCGAUCUCCCCAUCCCUUUCAAUUAAUAAUUCAUCAUCGAACCUCAUAUUAUAUAACACACAGUAGCUGAUGAUGAAUUUCGACAUCUUGUCGACUGUCCACAUGUCAAUAUUCAUCAGUCCUCGGAACAUAGUUUUUAACCUACCGAUAGCAUUCUCGAUUAACACCCUCAUCUGGGAAAAUCGACGAUUGAAUUGUAUUUCUUCCCUCGACAGAUAUCUCCGACUGAACGGGGUGAUUAAGUUCUGUUGGCAUGUAUAGGCUGAGUCUCCAACUAAAUGAUAUUUUCCACCGAAUGAUCCUGGUAGUUUUUCAGAGAGUGGUGACAUGGAGAACAUGCAAGAGUCGUGAGUCUCCCCUGACAUGCCUGUGCAUGCAUUUAUAAAUCUUGUUUGAGAAUCGCACACGACUUGCAGACCGAGUGUCGUCUGCUUAUCGCGGUCACCAUACAUAGCUCUGACCUUGUGUGCUGGCGUACGUAUGCGAAUAUGUGUUCCAUCGAUUACACCCAGAACGUCAGCGAAAUCAUACGUCUAAUAAAUAAAUAAAUGAAUAGAUGAAUAUAUAAAUAUUUUAA